AUUGAACGCUGGCGGCAGGCCUAACACAUGCAAGUCGAACGAGUGGCGGACGGGUGAGUAAUGUCUGGGAAACUGCCUGAUGGAGGGGGAUAACUACUGGAAACGGUAGCUAAUACCGCAUACCAUCGGAUGUGCCCAGAUGGGAUUAGCUAGUAGGUGGGGUAACGGCUCACCUAGGCGACGAGCCCUAGCUGGUCUGAGAGGAUGACCGCCCACACUGGAAUUAAGACGCGGUCCUGACUCCUCCGGGAGGCAGCAGUGGGGAAUAUUGCACAAUGGGGGCAAGCCUGAUGCAGCCAUGCCGCGUGUAUGAAGAAUGCCUUCGGGUUGUAAAGUACUUUCAGCGGGGAGGCGUUACCCGCAGAAGAAGCACCGGCUAACUCCGUGCCAGCAGCCGCGGUAAUUC
rnacentral:rRNA from 1 species